AAGUCGUAACAAGGUCUCCGUAGGUGAACCUGCGGAGGGAUCAUUACCGAGUGGAGGGCGCUCCGGCGCCCGACCUCCCAACCCUUUGAUUUGAUCAAGACCUCCUUUUGCCUCGGGGGCGACCCGGACCUCCGGGCCCGCGGUCCCCCCGGUGGUCACCAACCUCAACCCUGCAUCAAUUGUCGUCUGAGCAUUGAAGCGAAUUCAAUCAAAACUUUCAACAACGGAUCUCUUGGUUCUG
rnacentral:misc_RNA from 1 species